GGUUGUGGCUCAGUUGUAGAGCACUCUCCUUGAACAUGCAAGGCCCUGGGUUCAAUCCUCAGCACCA
rnacentral:tRNA from 1 species